AAGGAAGGAAGGAAGGAAAGUCCAAUGAUCAGGGCACUAGCCUAAGACUUGGAAGACCUGAGGUGGUGGAAGCUUGUGAGGUAGUCAGACAGUACAGUAUAAGGGAGCUGAAGGCACCUGGGAAAACUUCUAGAAAUCUGAGAAUCACAGGAGAGACCUUCCAUAAGGAAUUCUGACUACCACAGAAGGAGAGAGACUUUGCAGUGACCCGGCCAGAAGGCCAAGUCAUAGGAAGAAGCAGGCCACUGCAGAGACUAAGCAACCAGCAGCGGCCCCUCAACAAAGAGAGUUCUUACACCACGCCCAGCCACAAGGAGGCACCAGCAGUGAG